rnacentral:lncRNA from 1 species
AGGCCCCAUUUUAUUUACUCUGAGCCUCCAGAGCCUAGUACAGAGCCAGGCUUGGAAAUGAUGUACUUUUCUUGUUGAGUAAAGAUAGAAGUAGCCCAUCUCCCAUAGUGCCAUUUUUGUUAUGAUUCUCAAUAUUACCCACACAGCUGUAGGGUACUCUGUAGACGUACAGGUGCUGGGCUGACAGGAAUCUAGACUGGUUAGGCACUUCUAGCUUCAAAUGAGAGACAUUCCAGAUUACCAUCUGUAAUGUGGGCUUCCUACAAAAAUAGAAUACGAAGGUAUGUGAGGUAGCAGGAGAUGUCAUCUUUGUCAUGAGGUCACCUCUGUGGCACAGUGUCACCCAACACUCUAUGUGUAAUCCUGCACUUUCAAGCCUCUCUUAGAUUAGCACUCUGGCAUGACUCUGUGUGGUCAAUGGACUGUGAGAGAAAAUGACUGUGUGUCAUUUCCCAGCAUAGGCAGUUGAGACCCAUUAUCCUUAAAUCCCACCUUUUUUGUCCCUUUCAUGGGGACUUCAGAGACCCCAGAUUUAGAUUGUUCUGUUCUAAUAUGUCAAAGACUUCCCAGCCGGGGCUCCCUGGUGAGCGUGGGGCAAUGUCCCCACUGAGUGCAUUGCAAUUAUAAUGUGAAAGAAAAACAAAUUUUUAUUGCGUUGAGUCACUGAGAUGGGGGAAUUUAUUACUGCAGCUUAACAAAUUCCCUGCAGAUUUCCCCUUACAUCUCAUUGGCCAAACCUAAAUGAUAAUGGUCACUCAUAGCUGCAAGAAGGCCGAGAAAAAUGGGAAGAGGAUUGCUAAUUUGAUUUGAAUGAAUCAUGGUCUACCCUCUGGGGCUAUCUCACCCCAGAAAAAGGUGGGGUUUGGUUACAAGGAUGAAGUGAGGAUGACAUUGGGUAGGCACUGUCAGUGUCUGCCGAAUCACCAGAUACCGUUCAGGCUAAAGAGAGAAGAUGCUAAAACCAAAAAGGAAGAGGUGGAUACCCAGGCCAAGUUCAGAAAGAUUAUACUAGCUCUGUGGAUUGCAAAAGGAAAAUAAAAGAACAGACAUGGCCUGGGAGGCAGAUUUGGAAGGGAAGAAAAAGGAAAAAAAGGUAAUGUCUUUAAAGAAGGAUGACAAAAGGAGGGUAGUAGUGUCCCUCCUUAAAGCUCUGUGGAGUACAUGUGGUAUGGGGCAAACCAAAUAGUGAGUGUUCAUUACUGAAUGAAUGAAUUGUGGAAUUGAAUUCAACAAGUUAUUAGAGCUAUGGAAAAAUUCAAGUUAUACAUAUGAUUUCCUUUUCUCUAACUUCAUAUUGAACAAGAGUUGUCUGAUGGUACGACGGGAUAAACCUAUUUCCAGGUCAUGCUGUGCAGAGGAUAUUUGUCAAUCAUUGCCAUCCUACAUCUUUCAGACUCCUCCUCUUACAUUUUGUUGAUUUCUCUCAUUAGGAUUUGCAUCUUCCAACAGUAGAGGUGAAAAAAUUUGUGUUCUAAGUCUCAGAUUCCACUAGGGAAAGGGGCCACAUAAAAGGAAGAUCAUAUCCAGAAUCCACUUUUUCUAGAGCAUGCCAUGCUCAGUGCCUCCUGCUCAGUGUCUACUGGGUAUUCAGUGCUGCUGCAUCCACGCCACCAACAGGACUGACCUGUGGGUAGUUCAGUAGUGGCAUUUGGAUUCUUCCCUUGGCUCUAGAGUCUCUGAGCUUAAUUGCUGGCUGUGAGUUUCUGGAAAUUCUGUGAGUUUCACAAUAUUUGUAAUCAUUUUCCUUUUUGUUUCAGCUAGCUAGAGUUGGUUUUGUUGUUUGCACCUGAAAAUCCUGAUCUAUUUGUGUAGACGUUUCUGUUUCUUAUGGUGAGUUAAUAAAUGGCAUUCUGGUUUUCCUGAUUCCAGCUCACUCUGGUACACUGAGAUGAGUUCCAAAUUUCUGACUAUGCAAGACAGAGAGUGUAAUGCCCUAGAUCCUGGACCGUGGCUUUUACACUGCUCUGAGAACUCCAUCACCAUAUUCAGGAACCCUUGAUGGCUUAGUAUUGUCUAUUGGAAAAAUUCCAGACCUCAGACUCUGGUAUUGAAGGCUUUUCACUUUCUGUUCUACUUUCCUGCUAUAUUACCAAUACUCUAACAUCACUACCAAAUUGCGAUGUUUGCUGUCCUUUUGAUUUUUUUUUAAACUCUGGGUACUGGGACACCUCAGUAGCUCAGUGGUUGAGUGCCUGCGUUCAGAUCAAGAGUCCUAGGAUCGGCUCCCACAUCCUAGGUUCCCUGCAUGGAGCCUGCUUCUCCCUCUGGCUAUGUCUCUGCCUCUUCAUCUUUCUGUGUCUCUCAUGAAUAAAGAAAUAAAAUCUUAAAAAACAACAACUCUUACACUCUUACACUAUUCUCUCUGCUUGCAGGAAUCUGCCUUACAUCUCUGUCUACCAGAAUCUUACCCAUAACUCAGGACUCUAUUCAGAUUCCAUUUCUUCAAUGAAGACUUUACUAAUGACUCCCUGAAGAAGUAUUGCUUAAUCAUCUAAAAUCUUCUCUGCAUUGAGAGCAUCUAUUCUAUAAUGCCUUGUCUAAGAAUUAGUUUGUCUGUUUAGACAUCUUCC